rnacentral:rRNA from 1 species
AUUGAACGCUGGCGGCAGGCCUAACACAUGCAAGUCGAACGGUAACAGGAAGAAGCUUGCUUCUUUGCUGACGAGUGGCGGACGGGUGAGUAAUGUCUGGGAAACUGCCUGAUGGAGGGGGAUAACUACUGGAAACGGUAGCUAAUACCGCAUAACGUCGCAAGACCAAAGAGGGGGACCUUCGGGCCUCUUGCCAUCGGAUGUGCCCAGAUGGGAUUAGCUAGUAGGUGGGGUAACGGCUCACCUACGCGACGAUCCCUAGCUGGUCUGAGAGGAUGACCAGCCACACUGGAACUGAGACACGGUCCAGACUCCUACGGGAGGCAGCAGUGGGGAAUAUUGCACAAUGGGCGCAAGCCUGAUGCAGCCAUGCCGCGUGUAUGAAGAAGGCCUUCGGGUUGUAAAGUACUUUCAGCGGGGAGGAAGGGAGUAAAGUUAAUACCUUUACUCAUUGACGUUACCCGCAGAAGAAGCACCGGCUAACUCCGUG